rnacentral:rRNA from 1 species
CCUACGGGAGGCAGCAGUGAGGAAUAUUGGUCAAUGGACGAGAGUCUGAACCAGCCAAGUAGCGUGAAGGAUGACUGCCCUAUGGGUUGUAAACUUCUUUUAUAUGGGAAUAAAAUGUUCCACGUGUGGGAUUUUGUAUGUACCAUAUGAAUAAGGAUCGGCUAACUCCGUGCCAGCAGCCGCGGUAAUACGGAGGAUCCGAGCGUUAUCCGGAUUUAUUGGGUUUAACGGGAGCGUAGGUGGAUUGUUAAGUCAGUUGUGAAAGUUUGCGGCUCAACCGUAAAAUUGCAGUUGAAACUGGCAGUCUUGAGUACAGUAGAGGUGGGCGGAAUUCGUGGUGUAGCGGUGAAAUGCUUAGAUAUCACGAAGAACUCCGAUUGCGAAGGCAGCUCACUGGACUGCAACUGACGUUGAGGCCCGAAAGCGUGGGGAGCAAACAGGAUUAGAUACCCCUGUAGUC